rnacentral:rRNA from 1 species
UACGGAGGGGGCUAGCGUUGUUCGGAAUUACUGGGCGUAAAGCGCACGUAGGCGGCUUUGUAAGUUAGGGGUGAAAGCCCGGAGCUCAACUCCGGAAUUGCCUUUAAGACUGCAUCGCUUGAAUCAUGGAGAGGUGAGUGGAAUUCCGAGUGUAGAGGUGAAAUUCGUAGAUAUUCGCAAGAACACCAGUGGCGAAGGCGGCUCACUGGCCCGGUACUGACGCUGAGGUGCGAAAGCGUGGGGAGCAAACAGG